GAAGUGGAUGCAAUUAUUCCUGAUGCGCAGGCAGGAUAUGAAACCGCUUGGAAAACUCUCUUGCCCCUCAUGGCAGGAACAGAUGUGAUCUGUGGGACCG
rfam:Spirochaetes bacterium DG_61 WOR1_52_54_2196, whole genome shotgun sequence.